AACGAACGCUGGCGGCAUGCCUAACACAUGCAAGUCGAACGAGACCUUCGGGUCUAGUGGCGCACGGGUGCGUAACGCGUGGGAACCUGCCUUUAGGUUCGGAAUAACUCAGAGAAAUUUGAGCUAAUACCGGAUAAUGUCUUCGGACCAAAGAUUUAUCGCCUUUAGAUGGGCCCGCGUAAGAUUAGCUAGUUGGUGGGGUAAAGGCCUACCAAGGCGACGAUCUUUAGCUGGUCUGAGAGGAUGAUCAGCCACACUGGGACUGAGACACGGCCCAGACUCCUACGGGAGGCAGCAGUGGGGAAUAUUGGACAAUGGGCGAAAGCCUGAUCCAGCAAUGCCCGCGUGAGUGAUGAAGGGCCUUAGGGGUUUGUAAAAGCUCUUUUACCCGAGAUGAUAAUGACAGUAUCGGGAGAAUAAGCUCCGGCUAACUCCGUGCCAGCAGCCGCGGUAA
rnacentral:rRNA from 1 species